CGCACAUUGCGCCCACCAGUAUUCUGGUGGGCAUGCCUGUUCGAGCGUCAUUUCAACCCUUAAGCCCAGCCGCUUAGCGUUAGGAGCCUACCGGACGCCGUCCCGUAGCUCCCUAAAGUCAGUGGCGGAGCCGGCUCGACGCCCCAGACGUAGUAAGCUAUCGCGUCGUCUGUGGCCGGAGCCCGGUCCCCUGCCGUAAAAUACCCCAAGUCUUAUAUAGGUUGACCUCGGAUCAGGUAGGAAUACCCGCUGAACUUAA
rnacentral:misc_RNA from 1 species